UCUUCUUUUUAUUAGGAAUAAGGAAUAUUUCUUAAAACGAUAACGUCACUGAUGAAGAAUUGCAAAAUUAUCUAUGCUCAGCAUUCUGCACAAGCACGCGACCUCUGUCUUUGUGGGUCACUCGAAUCGCCCCAGUCAACCCCUUCUUAUGACCGUAACAAGCAAGUUAAAGUUCCUUUAAAAUCUUAAAAUUUUACUGAAAUCUUACGGAAAAUGCUAAAGUACUGAAGGAAUUACAUACAGUUUAAAGUGAUUAUCUAGUUCAGAUAUAUCCAGAAGGAUUUUCUGCAAUCUGAAUGCAUGACGUGGUCGAUUGCCACCUGGGUUACACCAAACUUAUGUUAAAUAGGAGAACGACAGAAAGUAUCAAACUUGUAAAAUUUGUAAUAGAUUCACUGUCGUCAAUAUGAGGCACCGUUUUGGUAUUUCAGUUUAGUUAUACAACCAAUUAAACGAUUAAGUAAUGACGCAGAUUUGCGAAACAUGUAUCACGUCAACGACGCGAGUAGGUGAUAUUUCAUGUUCCUCUUUCAAUGAGUCGAAUAAGUGAUAUCACUUAAAUGAUAGAUAGAUAGAUAUCACUCAAACAUUUACAUUUCCAGUGUGUUUGUCUUAGAUAUGUUUACAAAUUGUAAUGAUAACCAUAUCCUAUUGAAUGCACUGCAGUUGUCAACAAUACGCGUAUGAAUCUUGAUAAAUAUAGUGCGCUUGUUUGAUUGGCUGGGAACUCUGACAGAAAUGAAAGUAGAAUGUAGAUGUAGAAAAUAAAUUUCAGUUUUGAAAAUGCAUGAUGAUAUGAACCGCAACGCCUCACACCGGCAUACUGUUCACGAACUUGCCAUAGAAAACAAUGGGCGAAUAACGAUAUCCUGUGUUACCAUGCAGCGAGCAGGCGACACGAGCGGGCUGUGCACACACUCUGCGAUGGGGACGGGGCUCUCGAUUUAUACCCCAUUCAUCUCUGUGACGGAUUCCAAUUAAUGAUUUUUACACUUUAGUUAUGGACAGGAUCACUUGAACUAAUUGAAGAAGCUUCAGGACGUAUUCAUAUAACUUUGCAGAAAGAUAGAAUAUUGUUCACGGUUAUUUAAAUCUAAAUCAUUUGUAAUAAUAUUUGUAGAGGGAUGAAUAUUUUGACAUCUUCAUCCGGCUGUUUCUUUUAACACUUGUAAACUAUGACACUCUCAUGGACGCCUUCGUUGAAUCUGCAUGUUAACAGAAAGCACAAUAAAAGCUCUAAUUCAUG